CCCUUAGAUGUUCUGGGCCGCACGCGCGCUACACUGAUGCAUUCAACGAGUCUAAAACCUGCUCUGAUAGGGGUGGGUAAUCUUUUGAAUGUGCAUCGUGAUUGGGAUAGAUGAUUGCAAUUUUUCAUCUUCAACGAGGAAUUCCUAGUAAGCGCGAGUCAUCAGCUUGCGUUGAUUACGUCCCUGCCCUUUGUACACACCGCCCGUCGCUCCUACCGAUUGAAUGGUCCGGUGAAGCGCUCGGACCGCGGCCUCUUGACGGUUCGCUGUCGAUUGGCUGUGGGAAGUUCGUUAAACCUUAUCAUUUAGAGGAAGGAGAAGUCGUAACA
rnacentral:rRNA from 1 species